rnacentral:lncRNA from 10 species
CCCUCUCUGUGAUCUCCCUGGUCCUUUCCUGAUCGCUGGGCUCCCUUUUUCGGGCCUCUGGCCAAAAACUUGGUGUUGUAGUUACCCUGCUCUGCCGUGCACUUCCUACAACUGCACCCACAGUCGCGGCCAAGCAGCGAAGAUUUAAGAAACAGGAAAAGAAGUUCUCUUAUACAAUUAAGGGGGCGUUGAAUGUGCCAGGAUGUAAAUCAGCAUCUUGCGAAGUUUUGUUUGCAACAUGUAUAAUGAAAACUGGAGACUAAGAACAGAAACUUUACAACGAAGUAGAUUCUACAAAGCAGCCUAAGUGUAAAGCUUCAGCCUGGACCCUCGUUGAAUUUGACAGCAAAGUGUCAUGGUUCCAAGACAGCAUCUGAUUCCGGUUCCCUGCUGUGGGUCUGGUUUUGUGUGGUUGUAGCAGAAUUAUGAGAACAAGCCUCCCUCAAUUUGGGCUACACUGUCCACAGUCACAGAGCAUCUUCCAGAGAAGAAAACACCUGCAAUGAUGAGACAGAAGGAGAACGGUGGCAUCUCUCACUGUAAAGGAAAGAACACUGGGGCCACAAAGUGUCAUCAGCCAUGUUCCUCUCCAGUCCAAGGACUCCCAGACACUUAGUGUUCCAGCUCCUGAGUGAAAAUGUUAACCAUCAGCACACUCUCAAAGGUUAGAUUAAGGAAAAUAAUGCCUGGAAAAUCUUUUGUUUUAGUACAGGGCUGAGAAAACUUGAUGGUAAAUAAUAGAGGUUUCCCAGGCCAAUAAGCAAAAUUGAAGAUAUAUGUAGGCGUUUACAUAACAAAGGAGAACCCUCUGGCGAGCCUCUCCCUGCUUGCCCCCAGAGAACCAUCCGGAGUAGUUAGCAUGUUUCAUGUCCAGCUGCUGCUUGCCAAAAACAUUCUCAGAACAAGAGGGACUAGCCCAAGAGGGAAAGGGCUAGUAGGUAUGGUGAAAAAGGGGCAGGGUGGCUGGGUGCAGUGGCUCCCACCUGUAAUCACAGCACUUUGGGAGGCUGAGGUGGGUGGAUUGCUUAAGCUCAGGAGUUUGAGAGCAGCCUGGGCAACAUGGCAAAACCCUGUCUUUACCAAAAAUAAAAAAUAAAAUGAAUAAAUAAAAUAGCUGGGUGGUGGCAUGCAUCUGUGGUCCCAGCUACUAAGGAGGUUGAUGUGAGAGGAUCACUUGGGCCUGGGAGGCAGAUGUUGCAGUGAGCUGAGAUUGCAUCAGUGCACUCCAGCCUGGGUCUCAAAAAAACAAAAAGAGAGGGGAGAGGUUGGCAGGGGAAGGGGCCGGGGAGUGAGCCUGCUGCAGUCCAUUUCUUUCUCUGCCCCAGUAUCACCCAGACAGGUGCCUGUGUGUCCUUCUCUCCUCCCGUCAUCACAAGUUGGAUAGCUGGCUGGAAGCAAGGUGACCUACUCAGUCACCAGCUCCUGAACUGAGAUUCCAUUGCUUGGUUGCUAACAAUAGAGUCUCCAAUGUGUAGAUGGCAACCAGGGUGGGCCCUGGACUGCAGCAAGGUACAGCUGGCCAGGUGGACAGGAGCUGAGAGCAGUGGGGGAGUAGAAACAGAAGAAAAUACCCCAGCUUGGUCCCCAGAUGCUCCAGCAGUGCCCACAUUCCAUAUGUAAACAGGUGCCAGGCCUGCAGGUUAUAGUUUACUGAUCCUAGCUUUAGUGGACAAUAAAAUGUAAAAUAUUUUGCUUUGGUGGAUGUGAUGGUUUUAAACUAUAUCCACAAAGUCUUUCACAUUCUUCCCUUUAAAAAGGUAGAACUUAAUUCCUCCCCCCUUGAGCAUGGGCUAGACUUAGUGACUCACUUCUAAUGACUAGAAUGUGGUGAAAGUAAUGGUGUGUGGCUUCUGAGACUAGGUCUUCACUCUCUGUCAGAUCACUCACUCUAGGAAGUCAGCUGCCAUGUCAUGAUGAUGCUCAAGCAGCCUUGUGGAAAAGCUUCACAAGGAGAGGAACUGAGGCCUCCUGUCAACAGCCAUGAGAGGGGGCUGUCUUAAAAGCAGAUCCUCCAUCCCCAGUCAAGCCUUCAGAUGACGGCAGCCCCUGUGGACAUCUUGACCACAACUUCAUGAGACCCUAAGCCAGAAACACUCAGCUAAACUGCCCUGGAUUUCUGACUCUCAGAAACUGUGAGAUAAUAAAUGUGUGUUAUUCUAAACUAACAGUCUAGAAUAAACUGUUAUGCAGCAAUAAAUAACCAAGACAGUGGAUUUUUAUAAAAGACACUUUAAAAAUCAGUCUUAACUUCUGGUGCCAUCUGGUGUGCAUGUUCAGCUGCCUCCUUGAAUAUGCACUUGGAUGUCUCACACAUAUCUCAAAGAAACAUGAUGUUCUCCAAACUUGCUCCUUUAGAGUUUGUCCAUCCUAGGCCUCCUUUAAUUCCACACCUCAGGAAUGACUCCAUCAUAAUCUAGAAGAUCUAGAAGUUACUUCUUUUUUUUUUUUUUUGAGAUGAAGUCUCACUCUGUCACCCAGGCUGGAGUGCAGUGGCACAAUCUCAGCUCACUGCAAACUUCACUUCCUGGGUUCAAGCAAUUCUUCCUCAGCCUCCUGAGUAGCUGGGAUUACAGGCAAAAGCCACCAUAUCCGGCUAAUUUUUGUAUUUUUAGUAGAGAUAGGGUUUCACCAUGUUGACCAGGCUAGUCUCAAACUCCUGACCUCAGGUGAUCUGCCCGCCUCGGCAUCCCAAAGUGCUGAGAUUACAGGUAUGAGCCACUGUACUCGGCCAGAAGUCACUUCUUUUGCUUCGUUUCCUCACUCUGCCCACCCACUAUGCAGAUAGUAUGCACACACACACAUGCAUGCACACACACACACAUUCAUCCACACCUCCAGUUAUCACCUACAUCUUAGAGGGCAUGCAUUUCUCACCACCAACUAGUGUCACGCCUUGCCUCAGUUGGGGAAAGGCCCCCUAAUUGGUCUCCUGGCUUCCCACUCAACCCCAUCUUCUACUCAAUAGUGAGAGUCACUUUCCAAUGAGAACUAGAUCAUGCCACCACCUGGCACAAAUCUCCCCAAGGCCUGCCUUUGAAAUGAGAAUGAGAUCCCAGCUUUCCACAGAGGCAGUGAGCCCCUGGCAUGGUCUGCCCUCGGCCUGCCCAUCCCACCUCACCCCUCCUGCUCCCCUCCUCUGUGCUUAUCCACCCCACGCCUCUUCCCCCUCAGAGCUCAGCACACACUGCUCCCUCAGCCUAGAGCAUUCCUCCCCAAGUCACAUGGCUUCCUCCCCACACCCCUGGAACCCACCUUAAAUGUUUUCUCCUGUCUGGCCUUCCCAGCCUCCUCAUCUAAAGUAAACCCGCCUGUUAUUUUAUUUCUCAGUCUACUGUUUAUUUGCAUCACAAUACUUCAUGCAAGUUAAAGUAUUUGAUUCAUUAUAUUUUGUCUGUCCAUGGACCAAGCCAUAGACGAGCCACAGUUUACUGACAGGAGCAGCCACUUGGGAGUCCCCAGACUUGGGUUCACACACCGGCCCCCAUGAGUUCAGCUGAGCAGGUCAUACUGUAGCAUACGAUGGGAACUGGUGGGGCCUCUCCAUCACCUUGUCCAAGCCCCUGCAGACAGAGGUGUGCUAUGGCCAUCAAAUGAGGGGGUUUUGAGUAGUCCAAGGGCUACAGAUGCCAGUCUCCUGCUUCUGAACCUCAACACAGAAACCGUGUGUACUGAGCCAGUGUACUUAGUUUGUAUUUCUGUUUUUCAAUGCCUAGGAACCCUAAGUGACAUU